UACGUAGGGGGCAAGCGUUGUCCGGAUUUAUUGGGCGUAAAGAGCGUGUAGGCGGCCAGGUAGGUCAGCUGUGAAAACUCGAGGCUCAACCUCGAGACGUCGGUUGAAACCACCUGGCUAGAGUCCGGAAGAGGAGAGUGGAAUUCCAGGUGUAGCGGUGAAAUGCGUAGAUAUCUGGAGGAACACCGGUGGCGAAGGCGGCAUCCUGGACCGAGAUUGACGCUGAGGCGCGAAAGCCAGGGGAGCAAACGGG
rnacentral:rRNA from 1 species